GAUUUCCCUAAUUGUCACCAAAUUUGAAAAUGGCAAGGCAGCCGGCACAUUAAACUAGGAACCAGUUGCAUAAUGUCUCAAAGAGGAAUAACGUCCCAGAAACAACUGUUUUGAAAUUCACUGCUGUUACUGCCAUCGGUCUUCACCAAACCAAUUUAUAAAUUGAUGAACUCAUAUCAACAGCGGAAACCUCGUUAUUGGCGUCACUACCAACACCAACACUGAAGUACAGGAGUAAAAAAAAAACAAGAAAAUCAACACAAGGGAUACAGCAACGAUAACCCCUAACUGACAUCAUCGUCAUCACCAACACCAUCAUCUUUGUCUUCACUGUAUGCGAUAGCCGCGUCUGCCACACUUUGGAACAAUUCAAAUACUAACGGAGCAGCGUACCUUAUAAUUUCUAACAAGAACAAC